CAGGUCUUUUCGGUAUGCAAAUAAAUAUAUGGGCUGAUACUGUGACACUGGGUAUGUCCAUGGUGUAAAGUUCUGCAAUUCAUAUGGUGUGAGGCCAUCUGUACCCCUGUUCUCCUUCACCGUUACUUUCGUCUGAGGCUGCAUGAGCAUCUGCUACAUCAUCAGGUUGUCCUGCAGGUUGUUCCUCAUCCAUCGCAUCACCUUCCUGUUGAGGUGAGCAUUCGUUCAUUGUUUGAGCUGUUUCAUCAGCAUUCGUUAUCUCUGGGUUAACUUCUCUUCCUUCCUCUUCAGGUUUGCUGGGCUGGACAGCAGGUAAGUAUGUAUUAUCUAAUUCACUGUUUUCUUCUGCAGGUUGCUGAUGCUGCACAGCAGGUAAGUAAUAGUAAUAGUCCUCAUCCUCCCCUUCUUCUGGACUAGACUCAUCUUCGCCGGCUAACCUUUGUGUGUUCACUAGUUUCUUUGUCUUUGACUCCUUCCUGAGUUCAACCUAAAAUGGUAGGUAAUCACAAGACAGUAAGAGAUUAUGGUGAAGAACAUAAGAUCUUCCCUUUCCUUGUUUCAGUUUCAUUUCAUAAAUCAGUCUCCCUUGACAUACUACUGUGUGUACCACAUCUUCCCAGUGGUUGCGGAGCUUCCCGGUCUGACCUCUUGGUGUCAAGUUUCGCACUAGGACACGAUCUCCAGGGCACAAUAUGGAACUUCUCACUUUCCCAUCAUAAUUCUUCUUAUUCCUCUCUGCCGACUUUGCUGUCUGUCAUACUCUUUAUAGUCCAUAGUUCCUGUUUCAGAGAUCAAGCCAAAGACCAGAUCCACAUCCUUGUACAGUUUAGUAAAUAUAGGUGUAGAGGAGAGGGCAUGUGUCUUAAUCUUCCUAAUUUAACUCAUACAACUCAAACACUCAUUAAACAGAGAUACAUGUUUUCAUUUCUUUAAAAACCAUGGCAUAUACAAAAAAACUACACAGGCAACAUGUUUAUAACAAAUAUAAUAGAAAUCAAGAAGAAACCGAAGAUGUCCAUUAUAAGAGUAUGAGGAGACUUUGCUGAUUUAAUGGUAGAGGUAAGUGUGUUCUGAUAAUACAUUUAACACAAAAGCUCUGUUGUAAACUGUUGUGGAAGUUUUGAGGUUUGCGAGAAUUAAAGCAUAAAAUAUCACACUGGUAGACACGGGCAAGAGUAAAAAAGGUUUCAUGUUUGUUAUUGUGUUUAGCUGUGCAGCAGGACCCAACACUCUGCACGUAACCUGAGAGAGGAAGGGCAACGAUCAUUGAUUACAUCAAGAUUUUAUAGACAGGAUUCAGACAAACAGGACAAAACAUCAUCAACCAUUGGCUUAGAAGCAUCGCCUGCUCAUCUUCUGACCAAACUAAUCUGUACCUACCAAGGUCCCACUGCAAUCUCUAGUCACAAUAACUACCAGCCAUGAAAAAUACAGAAGCAUAGAAGGACAGGUUCUUAUGAACAUCUCUAAAGUUAAAACUUCCACUACAAUUCCCCCUUUUGUCUCUGGGAUAAUACACAAAAUUUUUACUUUUCAUUAAUCUGUAACAAAAUCUAAACUUUAAAUGAUAUAUACCAGUAUUGUUAAUCAACUACUUAAUCCACAACAUUGUUAGUCAAUUGCUGAAUCAGUAUCAAUUAAUCAGCUAGAAUAUAAUCACAUAUGCCUUAAGCUAAGCUUAUUCAUGUACAAUCUCACAUCAGCGUAUCAUUUCCCAUGAAUGCUGCAUAAAAUACAUGAUCUUCAGUGGACAAUAUUCUGUUUUUGUGGGGACAGCACUCGUAUAAAAAAUGCAGUUAAAGGCAAAGCAUUAAGCAUUAAUCUUGUUGUAACUUCACUACAAGUCACAGUCUCUACUGUCUGUAUUCACCUUUGUCGGUUUCUGGAUCAGUCUGGGCAAAUUCGGAGAAAUAGUCAUCGUCAAAUGGAGGAAUGCAUUCAGUCUCGUCGUCAAUAUCGUCCAGUUUCACAAGUUGUUUGGUCGUUAGGUUGGACAUUAUGAUGUAAUGAACGCAUUUUUAUGCACAGGGGCCAAACAAACAUAAGAUAAAUACCACACUCACUGGGAUUAUCACUGAUAGAUAGGGAGUCCACUGUCCAAACAGUGUAUACCAGAGUCGCCGACUAUGAUCUCUGUGUUCGUCUCGUUUCACUUGGUUUGCUACUUUGUGCAUAUCAUGCAGUGCAUCAGAGAUAGACCCAUGGUCAUCAUCAUUAGAGGGAAUGAAGGUGCAACAUUGAUCUCCUAUCAUGGCACAUACAUCUCCCUCUUUAGCUAAUAAAAUAUUUAAGGCUAUUCUGUUUUGUGUUGUAGUCAAUCUAAGGACAGCGAGUUCUUGCUUGACACCUUCGGCUGCCCGAUUAGUGGAGUUAAUAUAUGUGACUUCUAGUUGAUUCCAUAUCUGAGUCAUCCCAUAUUGUGGGAAGAAGGAAUCAAAGAAUUUACUGUUUACUUUUUAGUCUGUGCUCUGAUGGGGGAAAUCAUCAUUGGAAACGUCUCUUUUGGGUCGCUUUAUCGGUGAGUGUGAGUGAAGUAUGACCACACCAGGGUACUUAAACUUUGCUAAAGUACAUGCUCCUUUCCAGUUACAGGGUAAGGCCAAAUACACGUUUUUACCACAGACCAAGUACCAAUCGUCAGCCCUGAGUAAUGUGCCGGUGUCAGAUGGAUGAAUAAGGGAACACUCUGCCUGUGGGCAGGUCCUGUCAUCCGAAUAUGGGUAAUAUAAGUGAGUGCAUCUCUGGCUGGCGAUAUUACCUAAUGGUAUGUUUCCUGUUCCUACAAAACAGUGUGUCUAGUUUAAUUUAGGAGGAGGAUGUGCAAUCAAUGUGUUAAUUCUGGUUUGAUUUACCUUAGGUGUUCGUUUCAACACACGCAUUAGAGUCCGUAGACAUGUAGUGGCAUUAGUUAAAUCAGUCCUCCCAGGUCCUCCAUCUUCACACCAUGGGAAUCGUUGUGUGUUUGCUAGCAGACGUGGAGACAAUCAUGCACACAUAACAGGACUCAUUUCUGAUCAUUUUGGCAGUGUAGUUGGCGAGUAGCCAGUAAGUGUUUUCAUACACGUUUCUGCGACUUCUACUAGAAGUGGGAUUUUCUGGAGUCUUUUCUGCAUUCUCUUUUAUUAACAGGCAGAUCAUAAGGAUGCCAAUGGUCCCUAGGAUUCUAGGGUGAUAGUUAACAAGGCUCCUCAUCUUAACAGGAGCUUCUACCUUGCCUACUACUUUGACCAUCCUUUGAAGUCAGAUCUUUGUGUGUGCGUGUGUGUAGAUGACAGUCUGGGGUGGUAGUCAGUAUGUAAUACUGUAUAAUCGUCUACUGCCAUCUACUAUCUUAAAUGUCACAUUUACUUCUCUCACUAAGUCUAUAAACUUCAUUAACAUUUGUGUUUAGACACUUUCAGAGUCAGUUGGAGCUCACGGGAGAGGUUACUAGUACGUCACCGUGUGCCCUGAUGCUCCUUUUUGUUCCUCUUAGCAGUUGAUUCCUGUUUUUUCCUCUGGCUCAGGGACCCGCUUACAAUGGCUAACAUGACUCCAUGCCGCUCUCUCUGCAACCUUCACCGCAGUCUGUGUGGUCAGAAAUACCUGAAAUGGUCCAAGCCACCUCCUGCUUCUCCAGCUUUUCCUCUCGAAAUCGCCUUAGCCAGCGUUUCCUUCACCUGCUUAUAAAUUUGUGAACGAAUAGAGGACAAGGUUGCAUAAUGACACAGCAUCGCUCACACAAUAUUUGGUGCACCGACAUCUAGAGAUACUGUUGUACCUCCCUCCUUUUGAUGCAUGGUCUUACUCAUGCGUCAACUUAUUAUAGUAUGGAAACUAUUUAUUUGGCAAGAAUGGUAUGUAAUUGGGGCUGUAACAAAACCUAUUUCUUACCACACAUCCUGCUUUUCUCCAUGCUGCUUUUUCUUCUGCUGUGCAACGUGCCUGAAGAUCCACAAGGUCAGCUGUGGGAGUUCAUAUUUUCAAAAUACACAAAGUUUCUUUAUACAUAGAGGAUUUUUUUUCAGCUGCCUUUGCUGCUGCAUCCGCUUUGGCAUUACCCUGUGAAAUGGAGUCAGUUAUCCCUGUAUGUGCUUCAAAUUCACAUAUAGCAAUAUAUUUUGUUCAUAGGACUGUAUUCAGGAGGUCAGAAAUCAGGCCAUUGAUUCAUUUACCUAAUAAGUAAGGAAACCUCCAAGUUUCCACAACGUGCCAAAAUCAUGUACUACGCUGAAUCAAUAUAAAUGUAAAUACUUUUUGCCUUGUGCUAAUUUACAUGUUUCUGUUAGAAAAAUGAACUCUGCUGCUUGUUCAGAGAGGUUUCCUGGUAAUGAUUAAGCUUACACUAUUUCAUAUUCUGUGACUGCUGCAUAUCUCAAACAGCUACGGCCUGUUUUCUAGUUUCUGAAGGCUGAUCCAUUUACAAACAGUUCAAGGUCUGGAUUCAAUGAUGGAUUCAAUGAUGGUGUCUCCUGCAAAUCAGACCUGCAAAUUUACUUUAAAGGUAAAUUUAAUGAGGAAACGCUUCAGCUAACUUCUGAUUCCGACUUAAAUGUUAAAGUUUUGAAUGCUAUUGAUUUUCUUGAAGAGAAACAUACUCCACAGGGCACAUAUGCAAAGUACAGUUUAGAUGCCUACAAGCACAUGCCAGUGCACACAUUAAAUGUAGAAGGUCAAGACAUUGUGUUUUUAGUAGAUUCUGGUGAAGGAAACUCAAAAAACAAAUUACAUGAGUUGAGUGAGAUGCCAAAAAUGACUCUCUCCUGCUCUUCCUCUUCUGCCACUUCCUCGAUAUCUCCCUCUUCCCCGAUACGUUCGAGACCUCACCACAGCUUGCAUCAUUGUCAGCUGAACUUUGUGUGUUUGUGCUUCUUUCUUUUUUCCUGCUCCUGCUUGUGUUGUGCGAGCAGCUUUUCCGCAUGCAGAGCAUGAUGUUUGAUAAGGCUCAGUUUUCCAGUAUCCCACAUGAUGCAUAGGUUUUUCACCUUGUCAGAUAUUCCUGGGAUCAGUCCAUUCAUGAAACUGUUUCUCAAGUGCGCCUCGUACGCUGUCACUACCCCCUCACUCAUAUCCUGUGUGCGUUGGCGAUGAAGAUAAUGCACAACUGUCUCGCUGUCCUCCUGUUUGAAUAGCACAAUCUUUGUCAUAUCCAUCUUUACUGGAAAAGCCUCACUACACGCUUCACGUAAUUCCGUUAUGACGUUAGAUUACGUGGCAUUCCUCCCGUUCUCAUGAUCUGGGUGUCUCAUCCACAGAUUUUCAUCCGGCCAUACAUACUUAAUCUUGUAGGUAAAUUAUGUCAGCUGCUAGUUUUCUUCCCAGCAGGCAGCUCAGUUCAAGUGAGGUGGGAUGAAAUUAUUUGCAAAACUGUUCCAACUCCACACCAAACUUUUCCCCCUGACUUCUCUCGGGUCAGGGAGAUGCUCAUGAGAGCAUGAGGUCUCCAUCUGGCUCCGCUACUAGACUUUGUGAGCUUCUUAUUGUACUUUUUGUAUUCUGUACAUAUUGUGUAAAUAAUCUCUUUGGAGUAGAACUAUAUAUAUCUUGAAUUUUUUAUUUAUCUCUAUAUUUCUCCUUAUGUUUACCUUCUGUACUAUGUUUAUGUUCUGUAAAGCUGCUUUGAGACAAUGUCCAUUGUAAAAAGCGCUAUACAAAUAAACUUGAAUUGAAUUAAUUUUUCAGUGAGUGUUUCAGGUUAAAACUGCUGCCAUCAGGGAGGACACACUCCGUCACGCACCACAUUAAUUGUGACACAGAAUCAGGACCAUAAUUAUUUCUCAUAUAAUUCACAGGUCUAGUGAUACACACUGUGUUUUUACUGAGUUUGCUCUUAGAUUUACUGUUGCCCACGACUAUCUAAGUAUAAUGUUGACAGUCUCCGUGCCAGAAAACCUGUUUUGUCUCACUGUCUUAAUCUCUUAGUCUCUAUCUGUUCUCUGUGUUAUGUGUGUGUGCUUUAUCCUUUUUUGUUGGCCUUUUCUCUUUUCCCCUUACCAGCUUUACUCUCCGGAGAGUCUACGCCGAGCUUUUUCUGGGUUUUCUGAAAACCUCACAAACAAGACACCUUUAGCCCCAAUCCCAGAUUAGUGCCAUGCUUUACCUUUUAUUUCUAGGCCAUGCACUAGGUGCCUAUCCAGGUCCCUGACCCAUCGAAAGAUCCAGGUCUAAAUCCUGUCUUUACAGCCAUUUUCACACAGAGAUAAUAGUUUUAGACAAAAUAGUUAUAGAAAAAAUAGUUGUUAGAGACAAAAUAGUUUUACUAUUUUAUAGUUUUACUAUUCAACACUAAUAAAUUUAACUAGGGUUCUCUGGAAAAACCUUUACAACUUUACAAUUAAAAUAAAAUAAAUUCUCUUCCCUUCCUCGUGUCCAAUUACUUUUGAUUCCGGCGUUGAGGCGGCUCACGGUGAAUUACCGUGUCCUCUCAAGCUCAUGGCCAAUUUUGUGGUUCAAGGUGAAGUUAACAGCCUCCAAGGCGCCUGCAGUUCGCCUCCUCAGGAGUUCCCUUAGCCGAGCCUCAAGCGUGGAAUCCUGCCGACAACGCCAACUUGUCGUGGAAGUUCUGAGGUUUGAUAGUUUUAAAGUAUAAAGUAUCACACUGGUAGACACGGCAAGAGUAAAAAAGGUUUCACAAUUUAUUGUGCUCAGCUGCACAGCAGGACCCAACACUCCGCAUAUAGCAUGAGAGAUGAAGAGCCUCGAUCAUUGAAGAGCCUCAUCUACUGAUCAAGCUAAUCGGGACCUGGCCAAGGUCUGCUAGAAGGCCUACUAGAAGAUUUACUGGAUGUUGUUUAUGCCUAAACUCCAUCAGGAAGAUUCAAAUGUGGCUCCCAUUACUGAGCAUGUGCACUGUGAGUGUCAUCACUCUAGAUUGUUUCUGAUUGGAGGAAUUCAAGGUGUUACAACCGUCCCCUGUUACAACUGUCCCUGGUCUCCCCUAUCAUAAAGGUGUAAAAAAAAAUACAGCUAGUUAAGUUACUUACUGCACAGUAGGGCUACCCAUGAUUAAAGUAGUCAUUUAUGCUGACAGUUAAAGUUGAGUUUGAA